UUCUCUUAGAUCUGGAAGGCUCGGAUCCCUCCUAAAGUGAAAAUUUUCUUAUGGCAAGCCUUCAGGGGCCGGCUGCCUUCGGCUGACCAAAUUCGUAAGAGAAAUGGUCCCGGGUCUCAAUUAUGUGCCUUGUGUGGUGACUUAGAGGAUACGACUCAUAUCUUCUUCCAUUGUGUGCUGGCCAAACUUAUUUGGAGUUGCGUCAGAGAUUGGCUUCAUGUAGCCUGGGACCCUGUUUCUUUCUCAGAGCUCCAGACCCUUGCUAGUAAUUUGUCGGGCGUAACCAGACGUAUCUUUUGGGUGGGCCUGGGAGCAAUUUGUUGGUCUCUCUGGACGACUAGGAACAAAUUUACUAUUGAGCAUGUGGUUCCGGCUAAACCUGUUGAUUGCUUAUUUAAGUCGUGUGCUCUCUUGCAACAGUGGAAAUCAUUGACUAAGGUGGACGACCAAGUUGCGCUGUCUGAGCUGAUCUCCAAAGUUCGGGCCUCGACGUCUAAUUUUUGCAGACAAGAGCAGGAUGCUUAG
rnacentral:rRNA from 1 species